UGUCCGAUGGGGAUGGUCUAAUA
rnacentral:siRNA from 1 species